rnacentral:rRNA from 1 species
GUCCACGCCCUAAACGAUGAACACUAGGUGUUGGAGGUCUCGACCCCUUCAGCGCCGAAGCUAACGCAUUAAGUGUUCCGCCUGGGUAGUACGAUCGCAAGAUUAAAACUCAAAGGAAUAGACGGGGACCCACACAAGCGGUGGAGCAUCUGGUUUAAUUCGACAAUAAGCGGAGAACCUCACCAAGACUUGACAUCCCGGGAAGUCUGCCGAAAGGCGGAUGUGCCGUAAGGAACCCGGAGACAGGUGCUGCAUGGUUGUCGU